GCAAUUAGUUUAGCAGUGUCCCUAAACCUGUCCUGUUUAUUUGAACAUAUCUCACUGCAUAUAAGUCCAAAUGAGGUAAAUUUACCUUGUUGGAAAGCUAAGACAUAGAGGAACAAAUUUCAUGAGGAACACUUAACCUGAAACUGACUAGAAGAUAUCUGAAUUAGGACUAAAAUCUGGCAAUACAAAUUCUAGAAUCCUGAAAAAUGACCAAAAUGAAUAGUACGUACUAAAUUAAGUGUAACUCACAUUACAAAAUUUCAAAUUGAGUAAUUGUUAAACCUGUGUAAUCUUGAGACACAGGGGAACAAUUCAUA
rnacentral:misc_RNA from 1 species